rnacentral:rRNA from 1 species
GAAACUUAAAGGAAUUAAUGGAAGGGCACCACCAGGAGUGGAGCCUGCGGCUUAAUUUGGCUCAACACGGGGAAACUCACCAGGUCCAGUCACAAUAAGGAUUGACAGAUUGAGAGCUCUUUCUUGAUUUAGUGGGUGGUGGUGCAUGGCCGUUAUUAGUUGGUGGAGUGAUUUGUCUGCUUAAUUGCGAUAACGAACGAGACCUUAACCUACUAAAUAGUGCUGCUAGCUUUAGCUGGUAUAGUCAUUUCUUAGAGGGACUAUCGAUUUCAAGUCGAUGGAAGUUUGAGGCAAUAACAGGUCUGUGAUGCCCUUAGACGUUCUGGGCCGCACGCGCGCUACACGGACGGAGCCAGCGAGUUUAUACCUUGGCCGAGAGGUCUGGGAAAUCUUGUCCUUCAUCCGAUCGUGC